AACGAACGCUGGCGGCAUGCCUAACACAUGCAAGUCGAACGGGAUCUUCGGAUCUAGUGGCGCACGGGUGCGUAACGCGUGGGAAUCUGCCCUUGGGUUCGGAAUAACAGCGAGAAAUUACUGCUAAUACCGGAUGAUGUCUUCGGACCAAAGAUUUAUUGCCCAGGGAUGAGCCCGCGUAGGAUUAGCUAGUUGGUGGGGUGAUGGCCUACCAAGGCGACGAUCCUUAGCUGGUCUGAGAGGAUGAUCAGCCACACUGGGACUGAGACACGGCCCAGACUCCUACGGGAGGCAGCAGUGGGGAAUAUUGGACAAUGGGCGAAAGCCUGAUCCAGCAAUGCCGCGUGAGUGAUGAAGGCCUUAGGGUUGUAAAGCUCUUUUACCAGGGAUGAUAAUGACAGUACCUGGAGAAUAAGCUCCGGCUAACUCCGUGCCAGCCGCCGCUGUAA
rnacentral:rRNA from 1 species